rnacentral:tRNA from 1 species
GGCCUGCUGGCGAAAUGGCAUCGCGUCAGAUUUCGGCUUACUAGUCAUCCUCUGAAGAUUCUAGGUUCGAUCCCUAGGUAGGUCG